rnacentral:rRNA from 1 species
AACGAACGCUGGCGGCAUGCCUAACACAUGCAAGUCGAACGAGACCUUCGGGCCUAGUGGCGCACGGGUGCGUAACGCGUGGGAACCUGCCCUUAGGUUCGGAAUAGCUCCCCGAAAGGGGUGCUAAUACCGGAUAAUGUCUUCGGACCAAAGAUUUAUCGCCUUUGGAUGGGCCCGCGUUGGAUUAGCUAGUUGGUAGGGUAAAAGCCUACCAAGGCGACGAUCCAUAGCUGGUCUGAGAGGAUGAUCAGCCACACUGGGACUGAGACACGGCCCAGACUCCUACGGGAGGCAGCAGUGGGGAAUAUUGGACAAUGGGCGAAAGCCUGAUCCAGCAAUGCCGCGUGAGUGAUGAAGGCCUUAGGGUUGUAAAGCUCUUUUACCCGGGAUGAUAAUGACAGUACCGGGAGAAUAAGCUCCGGCUAACUCCGUG